rnacentral:lncRNA from 1 species
UGUAGUUUAGACAAAACAGUCAGCUAGCUAGCUAGCACAUGUCUGACAACAACAGUGGGCCAUAGCAAAACAUCAUCAUACCCCUGCACAUUGACUCGACAAAGUGCGCAGUUGGGUGCCAGACUGAUCCCCUUGUCAUGAACGGAUGCCGGAACCUACCAGAAGUAGCAAAGGUUUUACGUACUAGCCAAGCUGCUGGGAGAGCGCAAUGGUUCUCUUUUGAUAAGAUCUCACAAGUAACCUCCUCCGUUGUUGCCAGAGUCUCCCUCGACUCCUGUGAAAAGGACACGCCAUCAUGAGGCGUCUGAUAGUGACUCGAGUUACUUCUCUUUUGACACAUACGGCUUAAUCAACAACGACAGAUUCAUCUAUGGAGCCAGCACUUGGAGACUUACAAGAUGGAAAGGACUGUAGAUGCUUUUUCCAAGACUCCUUCCUCUGUUGUUUGAUGGGGAGACCAUUGGAAACAUGUAUGGCGCCAGCACGUGCAGACUUGCAAGAUAAUGUGAUGAAGUCCAGACUGACACACGGGCUUGAUGGUGAUGUCUCUGAAUGGAGAGAGACCUGGCACUCAGCAUUCAAAUUUAAGUAGACAACUUUUACUUGUAUUGUGUUUUUUAUUAUUGAAUUGAAUGAUAUCAGUCAAUAUGGGGUGGGAAAAUCCCUGUGUAUUCUGCACCAGCAUCAGGGAACUCCUGUUGUAUAAGGGACACCACACAGGAAGGUAUGACCACUCUGUUCGCCAAGGCCCUUUACCACCAGGCAAAAUGUUGAUAGGCACAGUAUCUGUAUCAGCUGGGAAUGACUACGGAAGGUGAAAGGUGCACAUUGUUUCUAUAGUAUUAUGUAAAGGGUUGUUUAUUCUAUAUGGACCUGUUUCUACAUUUGAAAGGUAUCAAAACACUUUGUUUAGAAUAUCUACAUAAAUUCAGCAAUUGCAUUCUCCUCAUAUUACUCUGCAGGUUACAGACCUAUUCAAAGCUUCCUCCGACAUCUGCCUAUAAAUAUUGAACUCAACCUGCAGGAUGUUUGUUUGUUGUGAUUGAGAGGGGGGAAACAGCUGCG